UGCGGGAACACCGGCGGCUCUAGUGGUAGCAAUUUUAUUGGGCCUAAAGCGUCCGUAGCCGGUUUAAUAAGUCUCUAGGUGAAAUCCUGCAGCUUAACUGUGGGAAUUGCUGGAGAUACUAUUAGACUUGAGACCGGGAGAGGUUAGAGGUACUCCCAGGGUAGAGGUGAAAUUCGUGUAAUCCUGGGAGGACCGCCUGUUGCGAAGGCGUCUAACUGGAACGGUUCUGACGGUGAGGGACGAAAGUUAGGGGCGCGAACCGGAUUAGAUACCCGGGUAGUCCUAACUGUAAACGAUGCGGACUUGGUGUUGGGUGGCUUUGAGCUGCUUCAGUGCCGAAGGGAAGCUGUUAAGUCCGCCGCCUGGGGAAGUACGGUCGCAAGACUGAAACUUAAGGAAUUGGCGGGGGAGCACCACAACGCGUGGAGCCUGCCGGUUUAAUUGGAUUCAACGCCGGACAUCUCACCAGAGGCGACAGCUGUAUGAUAGCCAGGUUGAUGACUUUGCUUGACUAGCUGAGUGGAGGUGCAUGG
rnacentral:rRNA from 1 species